GGUGAAUGGGGCAUUGACCACCGUCUAACUAUUUGGGCUACCUCCCACUCUCGUUAGAGGCCGUCUUCAGCUGUGACAUUGUCAGCAACAACGAGGGUCUGUGUGACUGCCUCGAUUCCUUUGCAAAGAGCACCAGCUCCAUGUCAUGGAAAAAGGUUGCUCGAGGAGCUGUUGCCACACAGUCACCAUUGUUGUCAGGGUUCUUUAACUGACGCAAUUGGACACUACCCAGCGCUGGCACAACAAAAGCGCCACAGAUGAUCUAUUGCCUACAUUUGGAAUCCUCUUGUUGAAGGAAAUAUGGAAAUUGGACCAGUCUGUCAUCGAAUCAGGACUGUCCUGUGAGAGACAGCGUGGAUAUUAUUAUGGAAAUUUGUAUACCCACCGUUAGUACAACAGAAAUUGUGUUGAGUUGAAUUUCUCUUAGUCACACUAACACGGAUGGACAUCAUGUGGUUGGACCUAGAGCUUUUUAACCAUGUGAACAGCAAAUUGGAGCACAAGAGAAAAGCUGGCCACGCAAUCUGUUAUGCCCUCUUUGACCAUGCUGUGUGCAGUUUUGCAAAAAGAAAAAAAGCUUUAAAAAAGUAUGCUUGCUUCAAGCUGUUUAUCGACACUCACUGUUGAAUUUGACUGUAAGACGAAAAACACAUUUAAUAUAUUUUGUUUUCUGUUUAACCAAUCACGUAGCUUUGUCUUACAAAGACCAUUAGCAUAAUGCUGACACCAAAUUUGUA